AUAGCGUAUAUUAAAGUUGUUGCAGUUAAAAAGCUCGUAGUUGAACCUUGGACCUGGCCGACUGGUCUGCCUCACCGCAUGCACUGGUUUGGUUGGGUCUUUCCUUCUGGCUAGCCGCAUGCCCUUUACUGGGUGUGUUGGGGAACCAGGACUUUUACUUUGAAAAAAUUAGAGUGUUCAAAGCAGGCAUUUGCUCGGAUACAUUAGCAUGGAAUAAUAGAAUAGGACGUGUGGUUCUAUUUUGUUGGUUUCUAGGACCACCGUAAUGAUUAAUAGGGAUAGUCGGGGGCAUCAGUAUUCAAUUGUCAGAGGUGAAAUUCUUGGAUUAAUUGAAGACUAACUACUG
rnacentral:rRNA from 1 species